rnacentral:miRNA from 2 species
GGAUUGUUGUCUGGUUCAAGG